AUAAAGAAAUAAUUGAAUGGUAGUUAUGGAGAAUCAGCACUUGGAGGAAUGACUAAUUUACUUUUCAUUUAUUUAUUUAUUUUUUUAUAUUAUUAUUAUUUUUUUGGUGAUACGUUAUGAUGUCGCUGGUCAUCAUAUUUGUCUGUCUUAUCCUUAUCAUUAUUAUCCUUACUACUCAUACUCUUGAUAUUACUGCCCAUAUUAUGUGUAUCUACAACUACCACCACUACUACUAUUACUACUACAACUACUUUCACCAGCACUACUACUCCCCAUACUCUUGAUAGUAAUGUCCAUGUAUAUUAUCGGUGUGUAUUACCAUCACUGUUUCUUCAGGUCGGGAGUGAUAGGCGUUCAUAUAUACAAAUGUUACCCUCACUAAUAUCACAUGACAUAACUCUACAAAAUUUUACCUAUAGUGAAACCAAAUUGUCGAGUCCAUUUUUCCGUUGGCUCCCUGGUUCCAUUUCUCCCCUCUGCUCUGCCACACAGUCCCAAGACCAAUUUUUUCCUCAUAUGUUACCUAUAGCUUACAUAUGAGAGGAAGAGACAGGUGUUGGGAGUGUGUGGCAGAGCAGAGGGGAGGCAAGGACCUGCGGAAGACUACGCCAGACUGGCCUCAACAUAUUUGGAAGACUGUAUGUACUGUUAUUAUUAUUUCUUCAAGUCAGGAGUGAUGGCCAUUCAUAUAUACAAACUUCAAAAUUUUAUCCAUAUACUCCUCUAUGUACUCCUGUUAUUAUUAUUUCUUCAAGUCAGGAGUGAUGGCCAUUCAUAUAUACAAACUUCAAAAUUUUAUCCAUAUACUCCUCUAUGUACUCCUGUUAUUAUUAUUUCUUCAAGUCAGGAGUGAUGGCCAUUCAUAUUUACAAACUUCAAAAUUUUAUCCAUAUACUCCUCUAUGUACUCCUGUUAUUAUUAUUUCUUCAAGUCAGGAGUGAUGGCCAUUCAUAUAUACAAACUUCAAAAUUUUAUCCAUAUACUCCUCUAUGUACUCCUGUUAUUAUUAUUUCUUCAAGUCAGGAAGGAUAGCCAUUCGGAUUCAGAAACGUUACUAUUACAAUUACCACAGUGCAGAACUACCGGUAUACAAAAUUUCCUGUUAUCGGCACUCCUUAAGAUCCUAUACUCUAUUCAGCUUGAGGUGAGAACGUGUCAGAAAAGAAGCAUCACUCGUUACUCUCCUGCCUGACUUUACCUGAAUCUGUGGGACUGGCUGGUAGGGGAGAGGGGAGGUGCGGCACACUACCCUGAACAGUUACUUGAUUUAGGGAUGAGCAGGGAGUAGGCAGCUCAUUGGAAUAGCUGUCAAUCAAUCACUAGUGGACCUUUUUAUUAUCAUUUUAUUUUUUGUUCUAACUGACUUUUUUUUUUUUUCUUAGUGGGUUUUUUAUUUUCCAGUGGGCUCUUUUUUCUCACUUUUUUUUUUGCCCUUGAACCACUUCCUUUUUUUUCUAACAGACCUUUUUUUUCUUAGUGGGCUUUACUUUCCAGCGAUCUUCUUUUCCUCACUUAUUUUUACCUUUGAACUACUUGCUCUUUUUCUAGCGGACUUUUUUUUCCAGUGGGCUUUUUUUCCUCAUUUAUUUUUCCCCUUGAACUACUUCCUUAACUGUAAAGAAACAAAACAGAACAAAGCAGCUUUGCCCUACCUCCAUCACCUAUAGGGAGGAGCUUCUGAAGUGACGCGUUCUCACCUUAGACUGAAUAGGCCAUGUAAUAUUUCUUCGAGGCAGGAGUGACAGCCAUGCCAUACAGUCCGUCAUCAGUGCCAGCAUCCACACCCAACCAGGCUUCAGCAAUAUACAGUAACCAGUCUAUCAUUCAAUAUGUACACCUUGCUAUCACCCAAGUACACCUAGGCCAUAUUAAUUGUUACUAUUGUUAUCGACCCAUAGGUACUAAUUAAAGGUGAAGCUGAAGUUUAAGAGUAAGAUCAACAUUGCCAGAUUGUCGUACUCAGCCCACCUUUAUUUGCCAAUUUCCGACCCCAAAAUUGUCGCUUCCACUCCAAAAACUAGCUCCAUAUAUAGUUAUCGUUAAAAUGGUUAAUUACUUGCCAAUUUCCGACCCCUAAACUGUCAUUUCCACCCCGAAAACUGGCUUCAUAUAUAGUUAUCGUUAAAAUGGUUACUGACUGGUGUUUCUUGGCAAUAGUUAUGGGUCAGAAACUGGUUAAUACGAGGCUCUGAGUACAAUAAUUUGGCAAUGGUGAUUAAGAUGCAUAUAUACACCUCCAUUUAGGUAGUUCUUACACCUGAGAAUUAUAAGGAAUCUGCAUAUCUUAGUGUAGCAUAAGUAUAAGCAGUGAAAAGUGUGUUUCUCUGUUCUAUUUACUGCGCGUACGUGACUCGAAGGAAGUAAUAUUUUAAUCAACCUGUAAUAUUCUUAAAUCUUGUCUUGUAUCUAAGGGAAGUUUGCAUAUGAUUCUGCAGACUCUUUGCUGUAAUUGUGAAGUUACGGUUAAUAUUCUUGAAUUUCCGAAGUUUGAGCAGCCCAGAUGAUAUAAUUUUCUAUGGCUAAAACACUAUAAAUGAUUUCUAUUGAUGAAGGUUUGUGUAGUGGAUUAGUGUCGUUCUGUCAUUUCUUAGCUCCUGGAAGAAACCUAUUAUUUUUGUAUGACUUUCUAUUGCACUCCCAAAACUUUGACCAUUGUAUAAACUUGAUAAAUACCUUCAGAAAAAAAGCUUGUCAUUGUGAUGUUAAAAGAAGAAAAAGAAGAAACUAGUCAUUAGGAUGUUGAACGAAGAAAAAAGAAGCUUGUUAUUUGGAUGUUAAUAGAAGAAAAAAAAUUAUUAGAAUGUUAAAAGAAGAAAAAUAAGCUUGUCAUUAUGAUGCUAAAAGAAGAAAAAAGAAGCUUAUCAUUAGGACAUUAAACAAAGAAGAAAAAUAAGCUUGUCAUUAUGAUGCUAAAAGAAGAAAAAAGAAGCUUAUCAUUAGGACAUUAAACAAAGAAGAAAAAUAAGCUUGUCAUUAUGAUGCUAAAAGAAGAAAAAAGAAGCUUAUCAUUAGGACAUUAAACAAAGAAGAAAAAGAAGCUUGUCAUUAUGAUGCUAAAAGAAGAAAAAAGAAGCUUAUCAUUAGGACAUUAAACAAAGAAGGAAAAUAAGCUUGUCAUUAUGAUGUUAAGAGAAGGAAAAAGAAGCUUGUCAUUAUGAUGUUAAAAGAAGAAAAAAGAAGCUUAUCAUUAGGACAUUAAACAAAGAAGGAAAAUAAGCUUGUCAUUAUGAUGUUAAGAGAAGGAAAAAGAAGCUUAUCAUUAGGACAUUAAACAAAGAAAAAAAAGAAGCUUAUCAUUAUGAUGCUAAAAGAAGAAAAAAGAAGCUUAUCAUUAGGACAUUAAACAAAGAAGAAAAAUAAGCUUAUCAUUAGGACAUUAAACAAAGAAGAAAAGGAAGCUUAUCAUUAGGACAUUAAACAAAGAAGAAAAAGCUUCUCAUUUUAACCGAGUCUCGCUUACGCUAUCACUGAGCAAACUCAACAUAUAGUAGACAGCUUAUGUAACAGCACCUCAUUGUUUUAUACCCCCCAAAAAUAUAAUUGUUGCAGAAAGUUGAAAGUUGAAAUAAUACUUAAAGGUUUAAAGGAUUAUUUUUUUAUGAGCCCCACACACCCCGAUGGCAGAGUUUAUCAGAGGAACUCCACUAACUGUCAGUCUUGUGGUUCAUUUUGCCACUCGAUAGAAGCUUCACCCGGUAGACCUCCUGUUGAUUAGUGGGUGCCUUGGCCAGUCUGUACGCAUGUCUCCAAUUUGUACUCGGGAUAGGAAUGAACUGCAGGAAGAUUGACAUGAGGUAGAGAAGUGAAGUAACCAAAACAGACAUUGAUUUUUCAGACUAUAUGUGAAGUCUAAUUUCUCUACUCUUCUGUAAUCUCAUGUACUCUUUCUCCUUUCUUUUUGCUUCUCGGGAUAGGAAUGAAGCACAGGAAGAUUGACAUGAGGUAGAGAAGUGAAGUAACCAAAACAGACAUUGAUUUUUCAGACUAUAUGUGAAGUCUAAUUUCUCUACUCUUCUGUAUUCUCAUGUACUCUUUCUCCUUCUUGCUCUUUGCUUCUCGGGAUAGGAAUGAAGCACGGGAAGAUUACAUGAGGUAGAAAAGUGAAGUAACCAAAACAGACAUUAAUUUUCCAGACUAUAUGUGAAGUCUAAUUUCUCUACUCUUCUGUAAUCUCAUGUACUCUUUCUCCUUCUUGCUCUUUGCUUCUCGGGAUAGGAAUGAAGCACAGGAAGAUUGACAUGAGGUAGUGAAGUGAAAUAACCAAAACAGACAUUGAUUUUUCAGACUAUAAGUGAACUCUAAUUUUUCUCUUCUUAUAUAUUAUCUGUACUCUUUCUCCUUUCUUUUUCUUCCUAAUUAAUUUAUAGAUUUUUUUACAAUAUUUGAACUGUAAUUUCUAUAAUCUUUACAUCCUUUCAUCCUUUUUCUCCUCCUCUCUCUCUCUCCACUUUCAUUUUUCAGACAUUAUUUGAACUAUAAUAAUAAUAAUCUGUAUUCUCUCAUCCUCUUUCUCCUUCUCUCUCUCCACAUUAAUUCUUCAGACUUUAUAUGAACUGUAAUAUCAAUAAUCUUAUAUAUUCUCUUGUCUACUUUCUCCUUUUCUCUCCACUCUCCUUCUCAGCAUCUCAGGUGUUUGGGAACUUUUGAAGAGGUGGAUUAUAGUGUCUGCACCCCUCCCUCUCUACUUGCUUUACCUCCUAUAAUCAUGAUAAUAAUCCCUCAUCUCAGUUAUCUACCUAAGCCUUAUUUGUGUGUGAGUACGAAUUGGACGGCUGAGUACAGAUAGGUGGAAGUCCCCAAAACCAACCUCACAGUCAGCUUUUACUCUGAACAGUAUUGAGGGGACAUGUGUGGUACUCUCACCAUACUAUUACUGUUGUGUGUAUGAGGCUUGUCUUGUCUCUCAUCCUCUCACAGUGUCUGCUGAUCUGUGCCAAUACUCUCAUUAUGUGUGUGUUGUUAUCAGUACUGCACUUAGCUCUUCCCGGCUCAAUAAACAUGCCACAGUCC